AAGUCGUAACAAGGUUUCCGUAGGUGAACCUGCGGAAGGAUCAUUAAAGAAGUUCGGCCUUCGCGGCCAAGUUCUCACCCUUUGUAUGCCGAAACCAUGUUCGCUUUGGCAGGCCCCUGCAUUUCUCGGGCCUAGCCCAGAGGUUAUAAACCCUAGAAUACUCUGCAUGUCUGAGUACUAUACAAUAGUUAAA
rnacentral:misc_RNA from 1 species